GGCCUCGAUGGUGUAGUGGUGGUACGCGUUUCCGGUAUUGAUGGAACGCAGGUUCAACUCCUGUCAGAGGUCG